rnacentral:lncRNA from 1 species
ACAUAACUCAUGCAAAAGAAGGCUGGACAGAACACAUUCGGCAGCAGGUUCGGCGGCCGAAUGUCCUCUCCAGAGCCGAAACUCAUGCAUGUUCGGCGGCACCUUCGGCGGCCGAAUGUGCAUGACAGAUCCGAAAGUCCAUUCUUUCGGAGGCAACCUUAGGCAGCCGAAACUACCUCCACAAGGGGUUCGGCGGCCGAAUCCUCCCUUCGGCGGCCGAACCUGAGUUCAUCCAGAACUCAGCUUCGUGCAUGACCAAGCCUGUCAAGCAACUCCACUCCACAAGAGGUUUGGCGGCCGAAUCUUCACUUCGGCGGCCGAAGCUGGGUUCUCCAGAAGGCAGAACCUUGCUUCCUC